CACGCACACAUCCAAACAGACUUCUCCUUGCUUUUCAGAGCUUAUAAGGAGCAGGCAUCUGAAGCUGCACUCUGAAGCUCUGUUCCAGUGAUGUUCCUGAACAAGUUACAUGUUGGUGAAAGCUUCAAAAGGGAUACUUAAGUGACCAAUCCUAUUCAUACUGUGGGCCAGGAGAGAGAUGUGUGAAGAUAGAAGGAACUGGUCAAACAAAAAUAUGGAAGCAG
rnacentral:lncRNA from 1 species